rnacentral:tRNA from 1 species
GGGCUGGGGCUCAGUGGUAGAGCACUCGCCCGGCAUGUGUGAGGCCCUGGGUUCGAUCCUCAGCACCACG